UACGUAGGGGGCAAGCGUCGUCCGGAUUUAUUGGGCGUAAAGAGCGUGUAGGCGGCCAUACAGGUCCGUUGUGAAAACUCGAGGCUCAACCUCGAGACGUCGAUGGAAACCGUAUGGCUAGAGUCCGGAAGAGGAGAGUGGAAUUCCUGGUGUAGCGGUGAAAUGCGCAGAUAUCAGGAAGAACACCCGUGGCGAAGGCGGCUCUCUGGGACGGUACUGACGCUGAGACGCGAAAGCGUGGGGAGCGAACAGG
rnacentral:rRNA from 1 species